AGCGGCGAAAGGGUGAGUAACACGUAGUUACCUGCCCCAGGGACCGGGAUAGCCUCGGGAAACUGAGGAUAAUACUGGAUAAUCUCUCCGGAGCAAACGGUGCGAUUCCGCCCUGGGAGGGGACUGCGUCCUACUAGCUUGUUGGUGGGGUAAUGGCCUACCAAGGCUACGAUGGGUAGUGGGCGUGAGAGCGUGGCCCACCACACUGGGACUGAGACACUGCCCAGACACCUACGGGUGGCUGCAGUCGAGAAUCUUCGGCAAUGGGCGCAAGCCUGACCGAGCGACGCCGCGUGCGGGAUGAAGGCCUUCGGGUUGUAAACCGCUGUCAGUGGGGAGGAAAUGCUUAGGGGUUCUCUCCUAGGUUUGACCUAUCCGCAGAGGAAGUCCGGGCUAAGUUCGUGCCAGCAGCCGCGGUAAUACGAACCGGACAAACGUUAUUCGGAAUCAUUGGGCUUAAAGGGUGCGUAGGCGGCCGCGUAAGUUGGGUGUGAAAUCCCUCGGCUCAACCGAGGAAUUGCGCCCAAUACUGCGUGGCUAGAGGGAGACAGAGGCGAGCGGGAACUGAUGGUGGAGCGGUUGAAAUGCGUUGAUAUCAUCAGGAACACCGGUGGCGAAGGCGGNUCGCUGGUCUCUUCUGACGCUCAGGCACAAAGCUAGGGUACGAACAGGAUUAAAUACCCUGGUAUCCUACUGUAACAUGAACACCUGGUCCGGGGACCUUUCCCAAUGGUUUCCCGGCCGAACGAAAGUGUUAAGUGCUCCGCCUGGGGAGUAUGGUCGCAAGGCUGAAACUCAAAGGAAAUUGACGGGGGCUCACACAACGGUGGAGGAUGUGGCUUUAAUUUCGAGGUACGCGAAGAACCUUAUCCUAGUCUGACAUGCACGGAUGGUCCGCCUGAAAGGGAUGGGCCUGCCUUCGGGUGAAACGGCACAGGUGCUGCAUGGCGUCGUCAGCUCGUGUCGUGAGAUGUCGGGUUAAGUCCCUUAACGAGCGAAACCCUUGUCUCUAGUUGCCAGCGGGUUAUGCCGGGGACUCUAGAGAGACUGCCGGUGUUAAACCGGAGGAAGGUGGGGAGUGACGUCAAGUCCUCAUGGCCUUUAUGACUAGGGCUGCACACGUCCUACAAUGCCGCGUACAAAGGGACGCAAAACCGCGAGUCAACAUCCNAAAGCGGGCCCAGUUCGGAUUGCAGGCUGCAACUGCCUGCAUGAAGCCGGAAUCGCUAGUAAUCGCCGGUCAGCAUACGGCGGUGAAUACGUUCCUGAGCCUUGUACACACCGCCCGUCAAGCCACGAAAGUGGGGGGGGCCCGAAGUCGCUGAGCGAACCUCGAAAGGGACGCAGGUCGACCGAAGGUCAACUCCGCGAUUGGGACUAAGUCGUAACAAGGUAGCCGUACGGGGAACCUGCGGCUGGAUCACCUCCU
rnacentral:rRNA from 1 species